UGUUUUCUCAUCCCCUUUCUUUUAUAUAGGCCCUUCCAAUCACAUGAUGCGAGCGCGGAUUACACGAACUCGCGAGUGGGUCAGCUGUGUGAGAGAUCAAAGAUAGGAGUGGACCGUCCGAUGGCAGCUUGUUUGAGAGAGCAAGUUCAACCCGGCCUUGGACCCAAGUUGGAGAGAGAUCUCAUAGUCAUACGGAAACAACAACAACAGAUUUUGAUACAGAAGAUGGCAGAGCGGACUGCACACAUGGACCUGAACUUCUUGACCACAGCAUGAACUUGAUGAAGUAGUGGUGGAAGAAUUCACAUGGUAUAACCUCCUUGGUAAGUCCAAGCUGUUAUGUUGUAAAAUUAUUGUUUUGACCAAGGAGGUUAAAAAAUCACUUUUUUUAACCUCCUUGUUUUGACAAAAUGAAUGGCUCUCUGCUCUACUUCUCUACUUCUACGAGUAACUUACACCUGUUAAAAUUUUCAUGUACAGACUCAGUGUUUGUUUUAAACUUUUUGUUUGAAGAUUGAAUGAGAUGUUCAAACUAGCUCAAAGUGAAACUGUUUGUCCACAGACCCUUGGGGACAAAU